AGCUCUGUGCGUCUCUCUAGCUCUUUCCUCACGACCCUUGUUUCAUCUGUUACUGGGAUAAGGGAAAAAGAUCAUCCAUGCCAUGGUUUGAAUCCGUCUUGUUACCAGGUCACCUUUUAAGGAUCGUUGUAUAACCAACUGAUUGAACCGAGUUUUCAGGUUUUUACAGGUAUUUUACUUUGUCUUGGUAUUAGAAAGAGAUUCAAUUGGUUGUGAUUUGUAUUUCUUUACUUGAAUGUUUUACCAAUCACGAAGAGGAAUUAGAGUUUUGAAACAAAUAUUAAGGGGGGAAAGAACAAAACAAAACAUUGAAACAUGGUAAAGGCAAUUUACAGUUACGAAAAAGAUUAUAGAAAGUGAAAACUAAUAAAAGAGAGUUCAAUGCUUACUUGUUUGAGGAACAAGGAGACUGAAUUGAAAUGCUUGAAACUGGGCUAUUCAUUUAUUGCAAAUCCGAAGCAAAACCAAAGGGUCCAAACAUAACCACAAACCAAAAUAAAACAAACCAAAACAACAAGCCCAGGUUGGUCGACUAUCUAUUCAACAGAGGCAUAAUAGACAUCAACAUUUCCAAGCUUAUCUACUUUCCUUUUCCUCUGGUGUUCAGCAACCAAAGAAACUGAAACAACGCUCCCUGUAUCUCUGAUUCCAACAGAUCGUUUCCCACAACUUUGUUGAUGGUGACUCCCAAGCGUCAAGUCCCUACCUGUUGCCGAUUUCAUGAAACCCAACAGUCGAUCCUCAUCCCUAACCCUUAAGACUCCAAAACCCUUGAGCUUCCUCCCACCUUUUUUAUCCCCACUGUUUCAAAUUAGUCAUCUGCGACAACUCUUGCAAACCCCCUUUCUCCAUCCACCAAUAGAGCCCAACGAUCCCUUUCCACUGCCAUCAAAGCAAAAUUUGGCACACCUCCGCUCAGUAUGCAGUUCUUUCCAUAUAUCAUUCACAGAUAGGCAGACUCGAAAAAUAUGCUCCAAAGUUUCAAUACCAACCAAACACUUGGGACACACUGUUGAAUUCCGCAAUUUCCUGUUGUACAGGUUAUAGAAACUAGGAAUAAAAUUAUGGAAAAUCUUCCAAGCUGUAAUUUUUAUUUUCUUAGGUAGCUUAAGUUUCCAUAAUUUAUUGUGAAAAAGUUUCUAAUUUCUAUUAUUCUCAA